UCAAUACGAUAUAGCAUAAACAUUACACAAUAGUUUUCAAGAAUGCAAAUAAUUUUAAGGACAAGAGCAUACAAGAAUUCAAAGUAGUAAUAUAAAGCUCAAUUGAAUAAGAAAGCUAAAGGAUAUCAAUUUCCAAAGGAAUGAAAUCAGAAUAUGCGAAAUCGACCAAAGCUCGAUUUCUGACAGAAUUCAGAAGACACAUUGAAUAAAUGAUUCAAACUAUCAAUCGUGCUCCAAUAUACUCAAGAAAGCUAUUGUGGAAAGAUAUUUCAAUCUAGUUUCUGAUGAAACAAGUUUCAUAUGAAUUGAACUGUCCAAUAGAGAGAGUUACAAAUAAUUUGGUAAACAAGGGUCGUAGAACAAAAUCUCUGUUUGGCAGAAUUCAUACGGUCAGAUUCAACAGAUAAUUGGGCAGGUGUUUGGACUCCAAAUCUUUCAAUCCAUAUAUCAAAAGAAAGAUCUACGAGUCUAGUUUCCAAUGAAAUUAGUUUUGAACAAAUCGGAAUUCCCAACAAAGACUUAUAGGCAGCUCGGUAUCUAAAGGUCAGAAUCUCAAAAGUUGCACAGAUUCGAAU
rnacentral:lncRNA from 1 species